rnacentral:rRNA from 1 species
UACGGAGGAUGCGAGCGUUAUCCGGAUUUAUUGAGUUUAAAGGGUGCGUAGGCGGGAUGCCAAGUCAGCGGUAAAAAUGCGGUGCUCAACGCCGUCGAGCCGUUGAAACUGGCGUUCUUGAGUGGGCGAGAAGUAUGCGGAAUGCGUGGUGUAGCGGUGAGAUGCAUAGAUAUCACGCAGAACUCCGAUUGCGAAGGCAGCAUACCGGCGCCCUACUGACGCUGAGGCACGAAAGCGUGGGUAUCGAACAGG